GAGACCGCUAUGCGUUGGGAGUUGAGCGGUUAUGAGGCUACACAGAACAUUAAGGUUAGCAGAGAUCAACAGCUGUAACAGGACAUCAGGAAAUGUUGGACAAGUAUGUGUGUACCUUGUAUUUUUUUGUAUCUCAGUUUGGAAAUCAUCAAUGCAAAUCCUCCAAUCAGCAGCAGAGCCCCACAGACACACACAGUGAUGAAUAAAGGGGAACCUGGAGACAGAAACAGAUAUAAAUCAGAACAGGAACAGACCAGACACACCAUCUACAUAUAUGUUUAUGAACAUCUCAUUUGUGGUCCUUCAGAUUUGCCAACAUUCCUCUUUUAUUUUAAUCCCCCUACCACACACACACACACACACACACACACACACACAAACAAAAUAGCAAAAGACACUUUUAAGAGCCACGUCUGUCUUGGACAAUGACAUCCCCAUAGCAAGCAGCACAAAAGCCCCAGUCAGGAGCAGUGCAACAGUUCCAUUUUGGAGCCAGAGAACCUCACAGUGGAGCUGCCAGAGAACCUCACAGUGGAGCUGCCAGAGAACCUCACAGUGGAGCUGCCAGAGAGCCUGACCGUGGAGCUGCCGGAGAGCACUGUUCUUACUUCACACUCUUCUCCUCCUCCACCUUCACUGCCAUGUUCUAGGUCUUUGCAACAGAGGAGGAAAAGGACAAAAACCUUAAUCGGUUUAAUGGCACCCUCUGCCACCACUGUCUCUCCUCCAUCUUUUAUCACCACAGAUCACUCCCUUCCACAGUCUUGUCCUCCAACCGCUCCCUCUUCCACCUCCCAGUCCUUGAGUCAGGAGGGGCCAUAUGUGAAGAAGAGAAGAAAAGGUAAUUUUUUUGGCAGUGGUGUACUUUAUUCCACACUAUUAAUAAAUUUGCUCUCAGAUAAAGCUGUACUAAAACUGGAAGGCUGAGACUGAAUUUUAAAUUCUUAUAAUAUUCAAUUAUUUUGGAUACAAAUGGGAGAAUGAUCUACCUCCUGGUGUGGAUGAAUAUAUGUAGUUAUUAGCAAGAGCCCAGAAUUUUGUGAUUGAAGUGGACACAAUGGAUUGUGGGACCUGGACAAUUCCGUGCUUUCUAAGUAAUUAACAUAUUUGUAAAAAAAAAAAAAAAAAAAAUAGUUCACAGGCAACCAGUGAAUUGACAAUAAAAUAGGGCUGAAAUGAUCAUAUAGGUUUCUAGUCAAGUACUCAAGCUGCUUCUGUACAUACACAUUUAGCUGAAGCGUAUUUAUUGAGCAGGACAUUGACCUUUAACCUUGACAUUUACCCAGUAAUGCGUUACAGUAGUAUUAGUAGUGAAUCGUGCAUGCGUAAAAUGAUUUUUCAGCAUUUGAAACAUAAACUUGUCAUAAUUUAGCAAUAUUUGUAUCAAUAAUUGUAAUCUUGAUGAUCUUGAUUUUUGUUCCGUGUUCCAAUAAUAUGUGCAAAACUUGGGAUGACACCUGGAAGCCUGCCAGCGAGUUCCAGCAUUUUUUGCCCGAGUCUCCAAAUACCAACCAGCUUUCAGAACUUCAAUAUUGAGCGUUUUUGUCGUUGUUCUUGUUGUUGUUUUUGUUUCUUGCUGUACUUAAUUAAAGUUUUUGUAUAGGGCA